AUUGAACGCUGGCGGCAGGCCUAACACAUGCAAGUCGAGCGGAGCGGCGGACGGGUGAGUAAUGUCUAGGAAUCUGCCUGGUAGUGGGGGAUAACGUCCGGAAACGGGCGCUAAUACCGCAUACUAUCAGAUGAGCCUAGGUCGGAUUAUCUAGUUGGUGGGGUACGGGCCUACCAAGGCGACGAUCCGUAACUGGUCUGAGAGGAUGAUCAGUCACACUAGAAUUGAGACACGGUCCAGACUCCUACGGGAGGCAGCAGUGGGGAAUAUUGGACAAUGGGCGAAAGCCUGAUCCAGCCAUGCCGCGUGUGUGAAGAAGGUCUUCGGAUUGUAAAGCACUUUAAGUUGGGAGGCGGUACCAACAGAAUAAGCACCGGCUAACUUCGUGCAAGCAGCCGCGGUAAUAC
rnacentral:rRNA from 1 species